rnacentral:rRNA from 1 species
UGUUUAUUUCGGUAAACACCAAGUGGCGAACGGGUGAGUAACGCGUAAGCAAUCUACCUUCUAUCAUGGGGACAACACUUCGAAAGGGGUGCUAAUACCGAAUGAAUGUAAGAGUAUCGCAUGAGACACUUACUAAAGGAGGCCUCUGAAAAUGCUUCCGCUUGAAGAUGAGCUUGCGUCUGAUUAGCUAGUUGGUGAGGGUAAAGGCCCACCAAGGCGACGAUCAGUAGCCGGUCUGAGAGGAUGAACGGCCACAUUGGGACUGAGACACGGCCCAGACUCCUACGGGAGGCAGCAGUGGGGAAUCUUUCGCAAUGGGCGAAAGCCUGACGGAGCAACGCCGCGUGAACGAUGAAGGUCUUAGGAUCGUAAAGUUCUGUUGUUAGGGACGAAGGGUAAGAAUCAUAAUAAGGUUUUUAUUUGACGGUACCUAACGAGGAAGCCACGGCUAACUACGUGCCAGCAGCCGCGGUAAUACGUAGGCGGCAAGCGUUGUCCGGAAUUAUUGGGCGUAAAGGGAGCGCAGGCGGGAAACUAAGCGGAUCUUAAAAGUGCGGGGCUCAACCCCGUGAUGGGGUCCGAACUGGUUUUCUUGAGUGCAGGAGAGGAAAGCGGAAUUCCCAGUGUAGCGGUGAAAUGCGUAGAUAUUGGGAAGAACACCAGUGGCGAAGGCGGCUUUCUGGACUGUAACUGACGCUGAGGCUCGAAAGCUAGGGUAGCGAACGGGAUUAGAUACCCCGGUAGUCCUAGCCGUAAACGAUGGAUACUAGGUGUGGGAGGUAUCGACUCCUUCCGUGCCGGAGUUAACGCAAUAAGUAUCCCGCCUGGGGAGUUCGGCCGCAAGGUUGAAACUCAAAUG